UACGUAGGGUGCAAGCGUUAAUCGGAAUUACUGGGCGUAAAGCGUGCGCAGGCGGUUUUGUAAGUCUGACGUGAAAUCCCCGGGCUCAACCUGGGAAUUGCGUUGGAGACUGCAAGGCUGGAGUCUGGCAGAGGGGGGUAGAAUUCCACGUGUAGCAGUGAAAUGCGUAGAGAUGUGGAGGAACACCGAUGGCGAAGGCAGCCCCCUGGGUCAAGACUGACGCUCAUGCACGAAAGCGUGGGGAGCAAACAGG
rnacentral:ncRNA from 3 species